UACGUAGGGGGCUAGCGUUGUCCGGAAUCAUUGGGCGUAAAGAGCGUGUAGGCGGCCCGGUAAGUCCGCUGUGAAAGUCGGGGGCUCAACCCUCGAAAGCCGGUGGAUACUGUCGGGCUAGAGUGCGGAAGAGGCGAGUGGAAUUCCUGGUGUAGCGGUGAAAUGCGCAGAUAUCAGGAGGAACACCUAUGGCGAAGGCAGCUCGCUGGGACGUUACUGACGCUGAGACGCGAAAGCGUGGGGAGCAAACAGG
rnacentral:rRNA from 1 species